UUUUUAACAUCAGGUACCCUACUCAACGGCAGACACUCGGCAUCACGACACAUGUUUACAUAUACAUACACCAUAUAUAUGCAACACACAUAAAUACACCAUAUACAUAGUACACAUACAUAAAUACACCAUAUAUACCCCACAAACACAUACCACC